GGGGCAGUAGCUCAGCUGGGAGAGCGUCUCGUUCGCAACGAGAAGGUCGGCGGUUCGAAUCCGCUCUGCUCCA
rnacentral:tRNA from 2 species